UACGGGGGGGGCAAGCGUUGUUCGGAAUUACUGGGCGUAAAGGGCUUGUAGGCGGCCAACUAAGUCAUACGUGAAAUCCCUCGGCUUAACCAGGGAACUGCGUCUGAUACUGGAUGGCUUGAGAUUGGGAGAGGGAUGCGGAAUUCCAGGUGUAGCGGUGAAAUGCGUAGAUAUCUGGAGGAACACCGGUGGCGAAGGCGGCAUCCUGGACCAACACUGACGCUGAGGAGCGAAAGCCAGGGGAGCAAACGGG
rnacentral:rRNA from 1 species